rnacentral:rRNA from 2 species
AUGGAUUAAGAGCUUGCUCUUAUGAAGUUAGCGGCGGACGGGUGAGUAACACGUGGGUAACCUACCCAUAAGACUGGGAUAACUCCGGGAAACCGGGGCUAAUACCGGAUAAUAUUUUGAACUGCAUAGUUCGAAAUUGAAAGGCGGCUUCGGCUGUCACUUAUGGAUGGACCCGCGUCGCAUUAGCUAGUUGGUGAGGUAACGGCUCACCAAGGCGACGAUGCGUAGCCGACCUGAGAGGGUGAUCGGCCACACUGGGACUGAGACACGGCCCAGACUCCUACGGGAGGCAGCAGUAGGGAAUCUUCCGCAAUGGACGAAAGUCUGACGGAGCAACGCCGCGUGAGUGAUGAAGGCUUUCGGGUCGUAAAACUCUGUUGUUAGGGAAGAACAAGUGCUAGUUGAAUAAGCUGGCACCUUGACGGUACCUAACCAGAAAGCCACGGCUAACUACGUGCCAGCAGCCGCGGUAAUACGUAGGUGGCAAGCGUUAUCCGGAAUUAUUGGGCGUAAAGCGCGCGCAGGUGGUUUCUUAAGUCUGAUGUGAAAGCCCACGGCUCAACCGUGGAGGGUCAUUGGAAACUGGGAGACUUGAGUGCAGAAGAGGAAAGUGGAAUUCCAUGUGUAGCGGUGAAAUGCGUAGAGAUAUGGAGGAACACCAGUGGCGAAGGCGACUUUCUGGUCUGUAACUGACACUGAGGCGCGAAAGCGUGG